rnacentral:rRNA from 1 species
GACGAACGCUGGCGGCGUGCUUAACACAUGCAAGUCGAGCGGUAAGGCCCUUUCGGGGGUACACGAGCGGCGAACGGGUGAGCGACACGUGGGUGACCUGCCCUCAGCUCUGGGAUAAGCCUGGGAAACCGGGUCUAAUACCGGAUAUGACUCCAUGACGCAUGUUGUGGGGUGGAAAGCCUUGUGCGGCUGAGGAUGGGCCCGCGGCCUAUCAGCUUGUUGGUGGGGNGAUGGCCUACCAAGGCGACGACGGGUAGCCGGCCUGAGAGGGCGACCGGCCACACUGGGACUGAGACACGGCCCAGACUCCUACGGGAGGCAGCAGUGGGGAAUCUUGCGCAAUGGGCGAAAGCCUGACGCAGCGACGCCGCGUGAGGGAUGACGGCCU